rnacentral:rRNA from 1 species
UACGGGGGGAGCAAGCGUUGUUCGGAUUUACUGGGCGUAAAGGGCGCGUAGGCGGCCAGCGCAAGUCAGUUGUGAAAUCUCCGGGCUUAACUCGGAACGGUCAACUGAUACUGCGCGGCUAGAGUGCAGAAGGGGCAACUGGAAUUCUCGGUGUAGCGGUGAAAUGCGUAGAUAUCGAGAGGAACACCUGCGGCGAAGGCGGGUUGCUGGGCUGAUACUGACGCUGAGGCGCGAAGCCAGGGGAGCGAACGGG